ACAAGUUGUGUGGUGUGAGGUUCCGUGAUGAUUUUUUAUUUGGGCUGCUUGUAUUGGCUAAGAUGAGGUCUUUAGACUGAGAUUCGCACUAUCGCAUUGGCGGGUGAGAGAGCUUCUUGAAUUGUUGACUUUGUGGGUAGUUAUGCGUUACUGCGUGUUUCUUUAUCAUGGGCAGCAUUGUGGAGGUCCAGAACAAGGUUCUAUUCAAGGUGAAGUGUAUAGCCGACAUACAGAAUGUUAUUUGGGAAGUUAUGGUGGUCAGGAGUUAUUGGUAUAGGCAUAUGGUUAUGUGGUACAUCAUGUAAAUGUAUCUAGGUUGGAACUAUGGCUCGACUCGGCUUGUUCAAGUUUAUACCCUGUGAUGAUGGAAGAUU
rnacentral:lncRNA from 1 species